rnacentral:rRNA from 1 species
AUUGAACGCUGGCGGCAGGCCUAACACAUGCAAGUCGAGCGAGCGGCGGACGGGUGAGUAAUGCCGGGGAAUUGCCCAGUCGAGGUGGAUAACAGUUGGAAACGCCUGCUAAUACCGCAUACGAUUGGAUUGCCCAGGUGGGAUUAGCUAGUUGGUAAGGUAAUGGCUAACCAAGUCUACCAUCCCUAGCUGGUCUGAGAGGUUGAUCAGCCACACUGGAACUGAGACACGGCCCAGAGUCCUACGGGAGGCAGCAGUGGGGAAUAUUGCACAAUGGGGGAAACCAUGAUGCAGCCAUGCCGCGUGUAUGAAGAAGGCCUUAGGGUUGUAAAGCACUUUCAGCAAGGAGGCGUUACCUGCAGAAGAAGCACCGGCUAACUCCGUGCCAGCCGCCGCGGUAAUAC